GCUUGGAUGGCUCAGUCAGUUGAGCAGCUGACUUGAGCUCAGAUCAUGAUCUCACUGUUUGUGGGUUCGAGUCCCCUGUCGAGUU
rnacentral:tRNA from 1 species